GGGUGUGUCCCAAGAUCCACCGGGCGCCUUCUAAGCGCUUGGCCGCAGGUUCGAGUCCUGCCGGGG
rnacentral:tRNA from 1 species